GGGCCCUGGGGCUCCAUAAAGAGCGUCCGGCCGGGCCAGAGCUCAGGGCCCGCUUGGCUCGAGGCAGCCGAGGCCCGCGGGCGGGGGGCUGCUCGGGCUUGGCGGGGGCGGGCGUCUCGGCCGCGGCUGGCUGUCCAGCUCGGAGUUGGCUGGGAGGCCUGGCCUCCGCACAAUAAACAACAGGGAGAGAUAAAUCGCGAGUGUGUCUGGACCGGUGGGGAGCCGAGCGAGGAUGAAUCUUUUUAAGAAAAAACGAAUAUGAAAAGGAACAACACCCCAAAGGAAAAUGGACAAAGAGCACACAGGAAGCCCAGGCAGGCAACGCACACGUUGUCUCACUAAGUUGCCAGCUGCCCAGGCUGGCCUUGAG